CAUUCUUCGUUGUAAAUUGCUUCUAAACACUUCUGAAUUUUAAAUUGCUACCGAGAAGGUCCAGAAACCGUUCUCAUCCAAUUUAGUCACUUUUAUUACAUUCCACUUUGCCUCCCCCAAUCACUGCGGCUCCCAGUUUCAGCGUGGCCGCAUUUGGAAAAGGCUGAAGGUAGAAAACUCUGGAAUGGAGAGGCUGGCGACUGGAGCAGGAUCCAGGGGCUUUAAAUUUUAACCUGAGUGCGAUCGAAUGCGCGACUCCCAGAAGAGAUAGCCAGGCGUCCGCCCGGCCGCUCAACCCCUGCCAGGACUCGGAAUGCCUUGCUUUUGGUUCUUUUCUACAAGGAUGUCUGCGUGGAUAUCCCUGGACACUCGAUACCCCCCGGGGACCUGCUUUUCCCGCAGCUCCGCAGACGCGGCGGGAGGGCGCGCUGGCCCCGGCGCUGCUGGGACAGAGGUGAGCAGCGGGGUGGACAUUGACCGAUUCGACAACGUUCGGGCUCUAAGGGCUCGGGAAGGGACCCGGCAUUUUACCCUCCAGAUUCCCAAUCUAUUUUUUAAAAUAAUGUUCAAAACAUAUGGGAAAAAUAAGUGAUUGCUCCUUUUCAUGGUCACAGAUUGUAUUUAUUUUUUCAGACUGGUUUUCCAACCUAACGAGGGAAUGGGUAG
rnacentral:lncRNA from 1 species